AAGUGAGAAUGCCGGUGUGAGUAGCGAAAGACGGGUGAGAAUCCCGUCCACCGAUUGACUAAGGUUUCCAGAGGAAGGCUCGUCCGCUCUGGGUUAGUCGGGUCCUAAGCUGAGGCCGACAGGCGUAGGCGAUGGAUAACAGGUUGAUAUUCCUGUACCACCUAUAAUCGUUUUAAUCGAUGGGGGGACGCAGUAGGAUAGGCGAAGCGUGCGAUUGGAUUGCACGUCUAAGCAGUAAGGCUGAGUAUUAGGCAAAUCCGGUACUCGUUAAGGCUGAGCUGUGAUGGGGAGAAGACAUUGUGUCUUCGAGUCGUUGAUUUCACACUGCCGAGAAAAGCCUCUAGAUAGAAAAUAGGUGCCCGUACCGCAAACCGACACAGGUAGUCAAGAUGAGAAUUCUAAGGUGAGCGAGCGAACUCUCGUUAAGGAACUCGGCAAAAUGACCCCGUAACUUCGGGAGAAGGGGUGCUCUUUAGGGUUAACGCCCAGAAGAGCCGCAGUGAAUAGGCCCAAGCGACUGUUUAUCAAAAACACAGGUCUCUGCUAAACCGUAAGGUGAUGUAUAGGGGCUGACGCCUGCCCGGUGCUGGAAGGUU
rnacentral:rRNA from 1 species